rnacentral:lncRNA from 1 species
ACGGAAUUGGCUCGGUUAAACGCGUUUAUGACAGAUGGGCCCAUCAGUCAGGCUGACGUGGCGUCGCUUAACAUCACAGAUGUAACAAUGACGUUUGGUAACGUGUGAAGCCAUGUGGGGUCCACCUAUCAUUGGAAGAAAAAAAAGAAAAUAAUCUGGACGUGCUGGCCUUAUCUUCACCAACACACCGUCGUCCACCCCGUCCCC